rnacentral:rRNA from 1 species
UUUAGUCAGGCAACGAGCGAGACCCGUGCCCACUGUUACCAGCAUGUCCUCCGGGACGAUGGGUACUCUGUGGGGACCGCCGGUGUUAAAUCGGAGGAAGGUGCGGGCCACGGUAGGUCAGUAUGCCCCGAAUUUCCCGGGCUACACGCGGGCUACAAUGAAUGGGACAAUGGGUCCCUUCCCCGAAAGGGGUUGGUAAUCUCACAAACCCAUCCGUAGUUCGGAUCGAGGGCUGUAACUCGCCCUCGUGAAGCUGGAAUCCGUAGUAAUCGCGUUUCAAUAUAGCGCGGUGAAUACGUCCCUGCUCCUUGCACA